rnacentral:rRNA from 1 species
UACGAAGGGGGCUAGCGUUGUUCGGAAUUACUGGGCGUAAAGAGUGUGUAGGCGGUGCUAUAAGUUCGGUGUGAAAUCUCCCGGCUCAACUGGGAGGGUGCGCCGGAAACUGGAGUGCUUGAGCGUGGGAGAGGAAAGCGGAAUUCCUGGUGUAGCGGUGAAAUGCGUAGAUAUCAGGAGGAACACCGGUGGCGAAGGCGGGUCUCUGGGCAGUAACUGACGCUGAGGCGCGAAAGCCAGGGGAGCAAACGGG